rnacentral:rRNA from 1 species
UACAGAGGUCUCAAGCGUUGUUCGGAUUCAUUGGGCGUAAAGGGUGCGUAGGCGGCGCGGUAAGUCGGGUGUGAAAUCUCGGGGCUUAACUCCGAAACUGCAUUCGAUACUGCCGUGAUUGAGGACUGGAGAGGAGACUGGAAUUUACGGUGUAGCGGUGAAAUGCGUAGAUAUUGGGAGGAACACCGGUGGCGAAGGCGGCCCCCUGGACCGGUACUGACGCUGAGGCGCGAAAGCGUGGGUAGCAAACGGG